CUUCUGGGAACCGAGAACUGGAAAGAAAGAAAAAGAAAGAAAGAAAGAAAGAAAGAGAAAGAAAGAAAGAAAGAAAGAAAGAAAGAAAGAAAGAAAGAAAGAAAGAAGACAAUUCGUGGCCAUGGACCCAACUGGAGGAAUGAGCGAGGACGAAAGCAGCCAGAACAGACCAAGAUUUCUUUCUUUUUCUUUCUUUUUUCUUCCCCCUUUUUUUCUUCUUCUUUUGAUCCACCAGGUCUUUAAACUUGAUGUUCAAGGAGUUUGCCUAGCGGCCUCUCUUCAAUACAGAGGCUGUGUGACAUUCUGCUGCGGUGAUAAGACAAUGUGCAGCCACGACGACGGAUGGAGGGCCAUGGCGUGUUUCUCUCUGGCUUAAUUCCCUUGCCCUACUUCUUCCUCUCCCCACCUCAAACUCAUCCGAGCUGUGUGGUACCCUCAAGAGGACAAGCACAGAAGGAGGCAACGUGCACGAGAGAGAGAGAAAGAGAGAGAGAAGAGGCGGGGAGAGAAGAAGCAGGGAAGAAGGACCACUCCCUCCCUGGAAAGACCUUCACUCCUUCAGCUCACCCCAUGCGAUGCCAGGAAGCCAUUUUGAUGGAGUCACAUGCCGUUUUGUAAGAUGGCCGCAUUGACAUGAGAUUUGCAAAAAGGGGAAAUUCAAGAACUUGGAAGCGGUGAUGUCUCAGCCAGAUAUGCUACAGAUGAAAGCACAUUUCUCUUCCCCCCCCCUUUGGACUUCUGGUUGAUCUAACCCAUCUCUCUUCAAGAUGACUUGCACAGAAAAUGUUUUGAGACAGCAGGGCCUGCGUUUUCUGUUUUGCCUACUCUCUGACUGAGUAGAGGAUUUUUCAUCCUUCACCUUUUUCCAUGUCUGUCCACCUUUCUUCUUUUGAUCACCAAGAAAAAUGGAAGUUUUCCUAUAACUGUGUCUAAAGGAGGAAGAGGAGGAGGAGGAGGAGGAGGAGGAGGAGGAGG